UCAGCCCUAUAUAAACUCUAUUAUGUAAAGAGAAGGGAGGAGGACUAUUGUUUCUCAAGAGGGGGACGGCCACAAUUUAGAGGGGAAAGCGUUUGCUUUCACAAAGGGUGGAAACUCUUUCAAAGCUUGAAAGAAGGGCAAAGGGUGUCUCUCUCGAAAUAUUCACGCUUCACACUCCAAUUCCACGCCUUCACUUCUUCAACAGAGCAUCAUUGAAGCCAAGGCCGCGGAGGCUUUCCCCGCACGACCUCCAUCCCGACGACGCUGUGGUGGCUCCAGUCUCUGCUGCACUGCGUCUCACAUCCGUCUCCAUGCUGCACCAGCUGCACCAUCCGAACCACACCGACGCAAUAUGCACUGACGCCAGUUCCUGCAAUCUUUGCAUGCUCAAAUCGACCCGAGGAGUGUUGAGCCACCGCGAAUCCAGCCCCACCACUAGUCUGGUUUACCGGUGCCUUUGUCCACGACCAGCAACGAAAUCACCAGCGUACCUACAGUCCAACAUCUUGUUGCCGCGACCAGUCAAGCCUCCAGGGAAGCCGACGUCUCCAUUACUCCUGAGAAGCCCUCGCGAUGCUCUCUCCCGUCCGUGAUAUUCAACACUGGAGCUUCCUUCACUGGCGUCUCACAUAUCGAAGAAAUAAAGUUGAAGAAGACCAAGGCUGAAGAAGAUUGGUGAGCUUGAAAAGAAAUACAAUAAUUUUGGUCAAGUAAGUCCAAGCGGUGGAUUUAUCUUCCUUUGGAUUUUGUACAGAAUUGACAAUAAUGUUAUGGGUUUUGUGAUCUUACUUUAUGCAAGCUAAACAAUAUUAUUUUGGCAA